GACGAACGCUGGCGGCGUGCUUAACACAUGCAAGUCGAGCGGUAAGGCCCUUUCGGGGGUACACGAGCGGCGAACGGGUGAGUAACACGUGGGUGACCUGCCCUCAGCUCUGGGAUAAGCCUGGGAAACCGGGUCUAAUACUGGAUAUGACUCCAUGACGCAUGUUGUGGGGUGGAAAGCCUUGUGCGGCUGAGGAUGGGCCCGCGGCCUAUCAGCUUGUUGGUGGGGUGANGGCCUACCAAGGCGACGACGGGUACGCCGGCCUGAGAGGGCGACCGGCCACACUGGGACUGAGACGACGGCCCAGACUCCGUACGGGAGGCAGCAGGUGGGGAAUCUUGCGCAAUGGGCGAAAGCCUGACGCAGCGACGCCGCGUGA
rnacentral:rRNA from 1 species